rnacentral:rRNA from 1 species
UACGGAGGGUGCAAGCGUUAAUCGGAAUUACUGGGCGUAAAGCGUGCGCAGGCGGUUUGUUAAGUCUGUUGUGAAAUCCCCGAGCUCAACUUGGGAAUUGCAAUGGAUACUGGCAGGCUGGAGUAUGGUAGAGGAAGGUGGAAUUCCCGGUGUAGCAGUGAAAUGCGUAGAGAUGUGGAGGAAUACCGAUGGCGAAGGCAGCCCCCUGGGAUAAUACUGACGCUCAUGCACGAAAGCGUGGGGAGCAAACAGG